rfam:Oryza meridionalis cultivar OR44 (W2112) chromosome 12, whole genome shotgun sequence.
AUCCCAUGAUGAGGACAGGCGGCCAUGUACUCCUGUAGGCGUUCCCAUGCUUCCGGAAUAGACUCGUCCCUUGUCUGCUGGAAACUGGAAAUCCUUCCACGAAGAGAAU